rnacentral:tmRNA from 1 species
GGGGGCGAAACGGUUUCGACGAGGAUAAAGACGCUCCGGCUGCAUACCAAGCUCCUGUCAGCUUGUAAAAAUGAUGGGAAACUAAAUAUAAUCGCAGAUGAUUAUAACUACGCUUUAGCCGCUUAAAGGCUAACGUCCUGCCGGAUGAUUCCUGCUAACCCGGUACGGGCGUCGACGAGCAGGAUAGCCAAUCCUAAUAUCCUGUUAACGGAAUGGCGAAUCUUCUUACAGGAUAGCCGCUCAAGCAUCCUGCCUGAAGGAGACUUGAGUAGGCGAAAGCCAAAUUUCGGGCUAUGUAUGUAGACGCCAUGGCAGAAUGUUUUCGGACGCGGGUUCGACUCCCGCCGCCUCCACCA